rnacentral:misc_RNA from 1 species
GGUAAUGGUGUCGGAGCAGGGGUAAGACGUUUUUGGAAGAUCGAAGAAAAGAACCGUCGAGCACCGGAAGUGAUGAGCUUCGUGGCAGGAUCGACAACGAGCUUUGUGAGCCAACUAGGGUUCCGGAGGUCAUUCGGUGGUCGAUCGUAAGGAGUAGUUUGGUUCUUACGGAAAGGUCGUCUCCGGAACUUUCCUCCAGCUCCUCCGCCUUCGUAGGCCGAGGAACUCGCCGGUCUGCCGUCUCCCGCCG